rnacentral:rRNA from 1 species
GGGUUGUGAGGUUAAGCGACCAAGCGUACACGGUGGAUGCCCUGGCAGUCAGAGGCGAUGAAGGACGUGCUAAUCUGCGAAAAGCGCCGGUAAGGUGAUAUGAACCGUUAUAACCGGCGAUGUCCGAAUGGGGAAACCCAGUGUGACUCGUCACACUAUCAUUAACUGAAUCCAUAGGUUAAUGAGGCGAACCGGGGGAACUGAAACAUCUAAGUACCCCGAGGAAAAGAAAUCAACCGAGAUUCCCCCAGUAGCGGCGAGCGAACGGGGAGGAGCCCAGAGCCUGAAUCAGCAUGUGUGUUAGUGGAAGCGUCUGGAAAGGCGCGCGAUACAGGGUGACAGCCCCGUACACAAAAGCGCAUGUGCUGUGAGCUCGAUGAGUAGGGCGGGACACGUGGUAUCCUGUCUGAAUAUGGGGGGACCAUCCUCCAAGGCUAAAUACUCCUGACUGACCGAUAGUGAACCAGUACCGUGAGGGAAAGGCGAAAAGAACCCCGGCGAGGGGAGUGAAACAGAACCUGAAACCGUGUACGUACAAGCAGUGGGAGCAUGAGUUUACUCAUGUGACUGCGUACCUUUUGUAUAAUGGGUCAGCGACUUAUAUUCUGUAGCAAGGUUAACCGAAUAGGGGAGCCGGAGGGAAACCGAGUCUUAACCGGGCGUUAAGUUGCAGGGUAUAGACCCGAAACCCGGUGAUCUAGCCAUGGGCAGGUUGAAGGUUGGGUAACACUAACUGGAGGACCGAACCGACUAAUGUUGAAAAAUUAGCGGAUGACCUGUGGCUGGGGGUGAAAGGCCAAUCAAACCGGGAGAUAGCUGGUUCUCCCCGAAAGCUAUUUAGGUAGCGCCUCGUGAAUUCAUCUCCGGGGGUAGAGCACUGUUUCGGCCAGGGGGCCAUCCCGGCUUACCAACCCGAUGCAAACUGCGAAUACCGGAGAAUGUUAUCACGGGAGACACACGGCGGGUGCUAACGUCCGUCGUGAAGAGGGAAACAACCCAGACCGCCAGCUAAGGUCCCAAAGUCAUGGUUAAGUGGGAAACGAUGUGGGAAGGCCCAGACAGCCAGGAUGUUGGCUUAGAAGCAGCCAUCAUUUAAAGAAAGCGUAAUAGCUCACUGGUCGAGUCGGCCUGCGCGGAAGAUGUAACGGGGCUAAACCAUGCACCGAAGCUGCGGCAGCGACACUGUGUGUUGUUGGGUAGGGGAGCGUUCUGUAAGCCUGCGAAGGUGUGCUGUGAGGCAUGCUGGAGGUAUCAGAAGUGCGAAUGCUGACAUAAGUAACGAUAAUGCGGGUGAAAAACCCGCACGCCGGAAGACCAAGGGUUCCUGUCCAACGUUAAUCGGGGCAGGGUGAGUCGACCCCUAAGGCGAGGCCGAAAGGCGUAGUCGAUGGGAAACAGGUUAAUAUUCCUGUACCUGGUGUUACUGCGAAGGGGGGACGGAGAAGGCUAUGUUGGCCGGGCGACGGUUGUCCCGGUUUAAGCGUGCAGGCUGGUUUUCCAGGCAAAUCCGGAAAAUCAAGGCUGAGGCGUGACGACGAGGCACUACGGUGCUGAAGCAACAAAUGCCCUGCUUCCAGGAAAAGCCUCUAAGCCUCAGGUAACAUCAGAUCGUACCCGAAACCGACACAGGUGGUCAGGUAGAGAAUACCAAGGCGCUUGAGAGAACCCGGGUGAAGGAACUAGGCAAAAUGGUGCCGUAACUUCGGGAGAAGGCACGCUGACACGUAGGUGAAGCGGUUUACCCGUGGAGCUGAAGUCAGUCGAAGAUACCAGCUGGCUGCAACUGUUUAUUAAAAACACAGCACUGUGCAAACACGAAAGUGGACGUAUACGGUGUGACGCCUGCCCGGUGCCGGAAGGUUAAUUGAUGGGGUCAGCGCAAGCGAAGCUCCUGAUCGAAGCCCCGGUAAACGGCGGCCGUAACUAUAACGGUCCUAAGGUAGCGAAAUUCCUUGUCGGGUAAGUUCCGACCUGCACGAAUGGCGUAAUGAUGGCCAGGCUGUCUCCACCCGGGACUCAGUGAAAUUGAACUCGCUGUGAAGAUGCAGUGUACCCGCGGCAAGACGGAAAGACCCCGUGAACCUUUACUAUAGCUUGACACUGAACACUGGUCCUUGAUGUGCAGGAUAGGUGGGAGGCUUUGAAGUGUGGACGCCAGUCUGCAUGGAGCCGUCCUUGAAAUACCACCCUUUAAUGGCUGGUGUUCUAACGUAGACCCGUGAACCGGGUUGCGGACAGUGUCUGGUGGGUAGUUUGACUGGGGCGGUCUCCUCCUAAAGCGUAACGGAGGAGCACGAAGGUUGGCUAAUCCUGGUCGGACAUCAGGAGGUUAGUGCAAUGGCAUAAGCCAGCUUGACUGCGAGCGUGACGGCGCGAGCAGGUGCGAAAGCAGGUCAUAGUGAUCCGGUGGUUCUGAAUGGAAGGGCCAUCGCUCAACGGAUAAAAGGUACUCCGGGGAUAACAGGCUGAUACCGCCCAAGAGUUCAUAUCGACGGCGGUGUUUGGCACCUCGAUGUCGGCUCAUCACAUCCUGGGGCUGAAGUAGGUCCCAAGGGUAUGGCUGUUCGCCAUUUAAAGUGGUACGCGAGCUGGGUUUAGAACGUCGUGAGACAGUUCGGUCCCUAUCUGCCGUGGGCGCUGGAGAACUGAGGGGGGCUGCUCCUAGUACGAGAGGACCGGAGUGGACGCAUCACUGGUGUUCGGGUUGUCAUGCCAAUGGCACUGCCCGGUAGCUAAAUGCGGAAGAGAUAAGUGCUGAAAGCAUCUAAGCACGAAACUUGCCCCGAGAUGAGUUCUCCCUGAGACUACAAGUCUCCUGAAGGAACGUUGAAGACGACGACGUUGAUAGGCCGGGUGUGUAAGCGCAGCGAUGCGUUGAGCUAACCGGUACUAAUGAACCGUGAGGCUUAACCUUACAACGCCGAAG